UGGGCACCCUCCUCCGCUGGGCCCGGGGUGUUUGCUGUUCGAGAACCUCGGAGUGGCGUGGCUUGGACCCUCGCGCUGCGGCCCUCGGCCCUCGGCCCUCCGCGCUGGUGUCCAGCGAGUUCCCUGGGUGCCGGGCUCCACCGGCCGGGCUUCUCUUGGGGGCGGGGGGCUCCCUUCCUCGGGGAUCAGCUCCCUCUCGCCCGCGGCGUUCGGUGGGCCCUUGGUACUCGAAAUCCAAAUCCGUUGGAGUUCGGGACCUCUUUUGUUUAUCUGGAAGGGGGCAAUAGAGGGAAGUUCGAAAAGAGGCAUCGAACGGGAAGGAGCAACUUCUAACACUGAUUUGUAAGGACCCAAGCGUCUCUGAAACCUUCCACUACUUCUACAGAAUUUAGACAAGGAGCAUGACCGUGUGAGGACGGGACACACAAAACACAGUGCCGGCUCCACUGUAUCUUGCUUUAUCACUACGAUUUGUGGACAUUUAUGAAGUAGGAGAAAUUCGUUGGUUCAAAAUGAGGCACAGAGAAAGGCAGAGGCAUAGGCAGAGGGAGAAGCAGGCUCCAUGCAGGGAGCCCGACGUGGGACUGGAUCCUGAACUCCAAGAUCACACCCUGAGCCGAAGGCAGAUGCUCAACCAUGGAGCCAGCCAGGCGUCCCAAGUCUCAAUAAAUUAUUAACUAUUACUUCUGAAUAACGUUUUUGGGUUUUAUUCCUUUACAAAGAGACCUCUGUACAGUAGAAUUGUCCAAAUAGGGUGACAUUUUGUAAGAUUUCUUGGAUCUAAAAGUUGGGGUGCCUGAGUGGCUCAGUUGGUAGAUAAUGCAACUCUUGAUCUCGGGAUCAUGAAUUCAAGCCUAUCUAAAAAAAUAAUAAUAUAACUUCUGAGAGUUGAUUUUUUUUUCCUUAACGUUUUAUUACAAAAUUUUCAUACAUCUAGAAAAAUUGAAACAACUUCACGGUGAAUACCCAUAUGACCAGCAGCUGGAUUCUGUAAUUGACAUUUCACUAUACUUUUUUUUUUUAAGAUGUUAUUUAUUUAUUCAUGAGAGACAGAGAGGAAGCAGAGACACAGGCAGAAGGAGAACCAGGCUCCCUAUGGGGAGCCAGUGCUGGACUCUAUCCCUGGAAUCACGACCUGAGUGGAAGGUAGAUGCUCAACCACUGAGCCACCCAGGUGCCCCAUCACUAUACUUGUUUUAUCACUUAUUUAAUCAACCAGCCAGCCCGCUCUCAUCUUUUUUUUUUUUUUUUAAUUUGUUUUUCAUCUUUUUUUUUUUUUAAUGCAUUUCAGAGUAAGUUGCACAUUGUCAGUACAUAAAUGUUGGUUUUGUUUUGUUUUGUUGUAGGUGUAUCAUUUUCCUCCAUUUCAGAGUUUUCAGAUUGGUACACAGUGUUAACAUUAGUUUCAGAUGGGGGUGCCUGAGUGGUACAGUUGGUUAAGUGUCCAACCCUUGGUUUCUACUGUCUGAGAUUGAGCCGUCUCAGGAUCCAUGGUCAGUGUGGAGUGUUUGGGUCUCUGUCUCCCUCCCUCCCUCUGCUCUUCCACACUGCAUAUGCUCUCUCUCAAAUAAAUAAAUGCAUCUUUAAAAAAAAUUUUUUUUUAAGAU